GAUGAAGAACGUAGCGAAAUGCGAUAAGUAAUGUGAAUUGCAGAAUUCAGUGAAUCAUCGAAUCUUUGAACGCACAUUGCGCCCCCUGGUAUUCCGGGGGGCAUGCCUGUUCGAGCGUAAUUUCACCACUCAAGCCUCGCUUGGUAUUGGGCAACGCGGUCCGCCGCGUGCCUCAAAUCGACCGGCUGGGUCUUCUGUCCCCUAAGCGUUGUGGAAACUUUCGCUAAAGGGUGUUCGGGAGGCUACGCCGUAAAACAACCCCAUUUCUAAGGUUGACCUCGGAUCAGGUAGGGAUACCCGCUGAACUUAAGCAUAUCAAUAAGCGGAGGA
rnacentral:misc_RNA from 1 species